rnacentral:rRNA from 1 species
CCUACGGGAGGCUGCAGUAGGGAAUAUUGGACAAUGGGGGGAACCCUGAUCCAGCGACGCCGCGUGAGUGAAGAAGUAUUUCGGUAUGUAAAGCUCUAUCAGCAGGGAAGAAAGAAAUGACGGUACCUGACUAAGAAGCCCCGGCUAACUACGUGCCAGCAGCCGCGGUAAUACGUAGGGGGCAAGCGUUAUCCGGAUUUACUGGGUGUAAAGGGGGCGUAGACGGCGAUGCAAGUCUGAAGUGAAAGGCGGGGGCCCAACCCCUGGACUGCUUUGGAAACUGUAUGGCUGGAGUGCAGGAGAGGUAAGUGGAAUUCCUAGUGUAGCGGUGAAAUGCGUAGAUAUUAGGAGGAACACUAGUGGCGAAGGCGGCUUACUGGACUGUAACUGACGUUGAGGCUCGAAAGCGUGGGGAGCAAACAGGAUUAGAUACCCGAGUAGUC